CGGCGCGGCGAGAGCAGAGCGGCGCGCCGGUUCCUUGGCUCCCGAGGGCGAUGGCGCCGGGUGGCUGGCGCCGGCUGCGCCGCCUGUUAUCCGCGGGGCAGCUUCUAUUCCAGGGCCGCGCGCUGCUCGUCACUAACACGCUGGGCUGCGGCGCGCUCAUGGCGGCAGGUGAUGGCGUGCGCCAGUCCUGGGAGAUCCGCGCCCGGCCCGGCCAGGUUUUCGACCCACGGCGCUCCGGUGAGGACGCCACGCUGCUUAGCCCUUCACCCCGGGCGACCUUUGAUCCCGACACCCGACUGCGGGCCGUGACCCCUGACCCGUGGCCUCAGUCCCCCGCAGGACCCUUGCACUGACCGCACCUCUCCCCGGGUGUCUGUCUCCCCGCAGCCCUGGGUCUCCAUCACCUCCCAACCCCCGGAGGUCUCUGCCCACUACCUAGGAGCCUCUGGAGCCGCGCCUCCUGGUGGGGCUUGUAGUAGAAGAAUGCACGGGUGGCCUCUUCCGGUUUUCCCGGUGAGGCUGAGGCUCCGGGAUGUCAUUGGGCUUACCCAGGUCUUAGCCAGGGAGGGAGGGAAUGGACUGGGGAAUUUGCCGGCCCGACUCAGCCCCCUGACUUACACUCUUAUAGCGAGCAUGUUUGCGGUGGGCUGCAGCAUGGGUCCCUUCCUUCACUACUGGUACUUGUCGCUGGAUCGCCUAUUCCCUGCGUCUGGCCUCCGAGGCUUCCCAAAUGUCCUCAAGAAGGUCCUCGUGGAUCAGCUGGUAGCCUCUCCCUUGCUGGGCGUCUGGUACUUCUUGGGCAGACUGGUGCGUGUGGCCUGCUGCGCAGUUCGUGAACUUCCUCUUCGUGCCCCCCCAAUUUCGAGUCACCUACAUCAACGGCCUGACGCUGGGCUGGGACACGUACCUGUCCUACUUGAAGUACCGGAGCCCAGUUCCUCUGACACCCCCAGGCUGUGUGGCCCUGGACACCCGAGCAGACUGAACUGUCUGCUUCCUGGACCGGAUGCAAGACUGACUCCUGGCAGACCACCCCCUCUACCAGAAGGGGAAUGGGUUCCUGCAGCAAGCUCGGGUCCUGGGCCACAUCCCAGCACCACUCCAGCUCCCAGGCAUUGGGCUGAGCUGCCCUUUCCAAGCUCACUUCUGGGACUCAGUUUCCCCAACCGGAACACACCCGUGAAGAUGGAUGAUCAUCCCCUAGCCCUUCUCAGCAGGAACCUCAUGCGACCUGUGACCAAGAUGUCCCAUCCUCAGUACAGGGCCCACCCUGCCAACCAGUCUCAAGCACCAGCCCCUCAACACUGCCAUCCACCUGGCUCUGGGCCAAGCCACUAAUCCAGAGCUCCCUCAGGUCCUGGGACUAAGGCGGGGACAUGACCGAUCCCCUCAGAGCAGGCUCAGGCCCGGAGUUGGCCCCCAAAAGUUUCACAUAGGGCCAGGCAGCCUCUGUGUUUCUUUCCCUGGUCGUGAACUGUGGAAAUGCCAUUAAAUUCUCUCUAUAAUGUAACUGAAACUGCUGGCUGGGCGCAGUGGUUCCCACCUGUAAUCUCAGCCUUUCACGAGGCUGAGGUGGAAGGAUUGCUUGAGGCCAGGUGUUCGAGACCAGCCUGGGCAACAUAGCAAGACCCUAUCUCUAUUUAUAUUGAAAAAUAAAAAUAACAAAAGAAAA
rnacentral:sRNA from 1 species